GCCAUGGCUUUGAACAUGCCACGACCUGCUGUUGGUCCAGUGCAGCAGAGAGCAUAAGCUGGUGGAGCUAGCCAGAAGCCUGGCUCAACCAGAAAUGAGAAACCAAAUGACCUUGGGAAAGCCUGGGAUGGGCGAAUACGGCAGCUGCUGUCCGCCGUGGGUGGCUACCCACACACCAUGUCCUGGGACAUUACAGCCUGAGGAGGAAUAGAACGUGCAUGCAUUCCAGAACCUGACCCUUUGCAAAGUUAUAACAGAGACCUACACGCAGAACUUCUCUGUCCUGCAGGAAGCGAAUAUUGAGAAUAGCAUUGGGCAUACUCUGAAAUUUGGACUACACAGAUGGUCAGCUGGUCCUCAAGACUGAAAACACACACCAACAUUUUUAUUUUCUGUAUUUUAUUUAUAGUU